rnacentral:rRNA from 1 species
UACGGGGGGAGCAAGCGUUGUUCGGAUUUACUGGGCGUAAAGGGCGCGUAGGCGGCCACCGCAAGUCGACUGUGAAAUCUCCGGGCUUAACCCAGAAAGGUCAACCGAUACUGCGGGGCUAGAGUGCAGAAGGGGCAACUGGAAUUCUCGGUGUAGCGGUGAAAUGCGUAGAUAUCGAGAGGAACACCUGCGGCGAAGGCGGGUUGCUGGGCUGACACUGACGCUGAAGCGCGAAAGCUAGGGGAGCGAACGGG